rnacentral:rRNA from 1 species
AGAGUUUGAUCAUGGCUCAGAUUGAACGCUGGCGGCAUGCUUUACACAUGCAAGUCGAACGGCAGCACGGGGGCAACCCUGGUGGCGAGUGGCGAACGGGUGAGUAAUAUAUCGGAACGUACCCGGAAAUGGGGGAUAACGUAGCGAAAGUUACGCUAAUACCGCAUAUGCCCUAAGGGGGAAAGCGGGGGAUUCGCAAGAACCUCGCGUUUUCGGAGCGGCCGAUAUCGGAUUAGCUAGUAGGUGAGGUAAAGGCUCACCUAGGCGACGAUCCGUAGCUGGUCUGAGAGGACGACCAGCCACACUGGAACUGAGACACGGUCCAGACUCCUACGGGAGGCAGCAGUGGGGAAUUUUGGACAAUGGGCGCAAGCCUGAUCUAGCCAUGCCGCGUGAGUGAAGAAGGCCUUCGGGUUGUAAAGCUCUUUCAGCCGGAAAGAAAACGCACGGGUUAAUAACCUGUGUGGAUGACGGUACCGGAAGAAGAAGCACCGGCUAACUACGUG